ACAACAUCCGGACCGUCGGCCUACCGAGCAACCACACCCGCUCGGUGGAAGAUCUGUUCGUCGU
rnacentral:pre_miRNA from 1 species